GCGCUCAACCAUUUUUAUACCACAGAAUGGCUGGCUAGUUGUAAAUUGAUAUCGUACUAAACAAAUGCUGCAAUUAUAUCCAUUCCUCUUCCCUCAUGCUGCUUUCACACGGUCGUCAACGCUAUAAUGCCGAUGAGCCGCUGGAGGACGUCGAUCUCGAUGACUAUUAAGCCUGGUGGGCUGUGAACGGGUGUCGAUUAUGCGUUACAUACAUAAUAAACCAGUACUUUUUGGGAAACCUCGUAAAGCAAAACGUUCAAAUUGAUUAGGAACCAAUUUACUUGCCACAUAGUUUUACCUAUGUUCAGCGUAGCCGUUCAAUACUUAUCACCAAUAGGGUCCCUCAUCAGUCGGAUGGUGCAUUUCCUUGUCGAUCAGAUCAGCGUGUAUCUAGAUAUGUACCUAUACGUUUUACCAAAUUUUUUAAUUAGUCGUGCACCAGGCUGAACCGAGUGCGAGGUAACUUUAAGCUGCAAAUUAAAUUCGUAUUUCGUACUCGUAAUUCGUAAUUCGUAAUUCGUAAUUCAACUGUCAUAUGAAAGGGAUAUUAGCGCAUUCUCCGUUCAUCUGGUGCGAUUUUGACUGCGGUUUUAGGAGCAAAAGAUCUUCGGUGAACAUGCCACUUUCGAACGUAUCUGCAUUUCCCCUAUUCAAAUUACAACCGAGUGUUAUAAGAAAGUAUACAAAUCUAAUCCAUAAAAUUGUAAUAAAAAUUAAACCAGAAUAAAAACACCACACAUAUA